CAAGACUAGAGUUAAGGCUUCUACUGACCCAUCCCAUGGUGGUGACAAAUUAAGGACAUGUCUAAGAAAAAGGGCCCUCCCCAGUAUACAAAAAAGGGGGGAGAGAAAAUAGGGGAUGACCGGUCACACCCCGGUAAAUUUAAGAGAAAUAAAGACUCAAAACCUAGUCUCUACCCUACGGUGAAACUAGAGGCCUUGGAGCUGAGCAACUCAGACUCUGAGAUUUUAGACUCUAGCGAGGAAACAGAGCUAGAGGAGGACAGAUACCACCCCGAUAGAUAUCGGCUGCCAAAAGUGAAAGCAAAUAUGAGGCCACCGCCUGUUAAUCCAGCGGGUGUACUUCCA
rnacentral:lncRNA from 1 species